rnacentral:rRNA from 1 species
AGUUUGAUCCUGGCUCAGGCCNAACGCUGGCGGCGUGCCUAACACAUGCAAGUCGAACGGAGAAUUUGGAGAAGUUUACUUCGAGAAAUUUUUAGUGGCGGACGGGUGAGUAACGCGUGGGUAACCUACCCAUAAAGCCGGGACAACCCUUGGAAACGAGGGCUAAUACCGGAUAAUCUUUGGACUUGGCAUCAAGGCUUAAGGAAAGGUGGCCUCUGAAUAUGCUACCGAUUAUGGAUGGACCCGCGUCUGAUUAGCUAGUUGGUGGGGUAAAGGCCUACCAAGGCGACGAUCAGUAGCCGGCCUGAGAGGGUGAACGGCCACACUGGGACUGAGACACGGCCCAGACUCCUACGGGAGGCAGCAGUGGGGAAUCUUCCGCAAUGGACGAAAGUCUGACGGAGCAACGCCGCGUGUAUGAUGAAGGUCUUCGGAUUGUAAAGUACUGUCUUUGGGGAAGAACGAUGGGCUUGAGAAUAUUGAGUCUAUAUGACGGUACCCAAGGAGGAAGCCCCGGCUAACUACGUGCCAGCAGCCGCGGUAAUACGUAGGGGGCAAGCGUUGUCCGGAAUUAUUGGGCGUAAAGGGCGCGUAGGCGGAUAUUUAAGUCCGUUGUGAAAGAUCANGGGCUCAACCCUGANAGUGCAUCGGAAACUGGAUAUCUUGAGGACAGGAGAGGAAAGUGNAAUUCCUAGUGUANCGGUGAAAUGCGUANAUAUUAGGAGGAACACCNGUGGCGAAGGCGACUUUCCUGGACUGUAACUGACGCUGANGCGCGAAAGCGUGGGGAGCAAACAGGAUUANAUANCCUGGUAGUCCACGCUGUAAACCANGANUGCUA